rnacentral:rRNA from 1 species
AGUGGCGGACGGGUGAGUAACGCGUGGGCAACCUGCCUUACACAGGGGGACAACAGUUAGAAAUGACUGCUAAUACCGCAUAAGCGCACGGGAACGCAUGUUUCUGUGUGAAAAACUCCGGUGGUGUAAGAUGGGCCCGCGUUGGAUUAGGUAGUUGGUGAGGUAACGGCUCACCAAGCCGACGAUCCAUAGCCGACCUGAGAGGGUGACCGGCCACAUUGGGACUGAGACACGGCCCAAACUCCUACGGAAGGCAGCAG